rnacentral:rRNA from 1 species
AGUGAACGCUGGCGGUAGGCCUAAUACAUGCAAGUCGAACGGCAGCACAGUAAGAGCUUGCUCUUACGGGUGGCGAGUGGCGGACGGGUGAGGAAUACAUCGGAAUCUACUUUUUCGUGGGGGAUAACGUAGGGAAACUUACGCUAAUACUGCAUACGACCUACGUGUGAAAGCAGGGGAUCUCCGGACCUUGCGCGAUUGAAUGAGCCGAUGUCGGAUUAGCUAGUUGGCGGGGUAAAGGCCCACCAAGGCGACGAUCCGUAGCUGGUCUGAGAGGAUGAUCAGCCACACUGGAACUGAGACACGGUCCAGACUCCUACGGGAGGCAGCAGUGGGGAAUAUUGGACAAUGGGCGCAAGCCUGAUCCAGCCAUGCCGCGUGGGUGAAGAAGGCCUUCGGGUUGUAAAGCCCUUUUGUUGGGAAAGAAAAGCAGCAAGUUAAUACCCCGCUGUUCUGACGGUACCAAAAGAAUAAGCACCGGCUAACUUCGUG